UUCACGUCUCUGUCUCCCACUUUUACCCUCUCUGUGUAUACACCACAACCACCGAACCUGUGUCUCAGCCAACCUUACCACCGCAAAUCAACAAACCUCAUGGCGAUCAAACCUCACGACCGCGCAUCCUCAACACCGUCGGUCCCCGUACGCCACAUAUUAGCAUUGACACCGUCGCUAACAGGUGGUCAGCGCUAUCGAGAUGGGUGCACUGCUCAAAAUAUGAGAUAACUGGACUUUCUUUCGCAUCAAUUGACUCUGAUUAUAUCUAUAUACAAGGAGUUGAUUAUGAGGUUUUGUGUGGACAAUGGAAAGAAAGCAAGAAAGUCUUCUCAUUUAGGGGAGAUUCAAACUAGCUUGGAUUUCGCUAGUUGUUAGUGGUUAUGAUGGUGAUCAAAUUGAUUAGAGAAGCUGAAUAUUAUCAAUUGAUGGGGGACUCAUAAUGAAAGUGAAAGACUAUUAAGACUACCCAAAUGGGGUCAUUUGAAAGAUCUGCGUAGAGCGAUAAAGUUGUGUGAGCCAGCUUUAGUAUCAGGAGAUCCCACUGUGAUCCCUCUUGGGAACUAUCAGGAGGCUCAUGUUUGCAAUUCAAAGUCUGGAGAUUGUGCUGCAUUCCUUGCAAACUACAAUUCUAAUUCCUUUGCAAAGUUGGCUUUUGGAAAUAUGCACUACAACCUGCCUCCUUGGUCCAUCAGCAUUCUUCCCGACUACAAGAUAUGUUUAUCGAUCUGAUUUAUUUUGUUAUUGUUAUUAUUUUUUUUGUUGGAGUCUUAAUCUAUAGUCCCUAAAAAUUGGCCAGUAGUUUCUUCAGUUGGUGUUCUAACUCAUCAAUGAAAUAUGUUCUAAUUUGAUGCCAA